CAGAAGACAAAAUGCCGUCCGAUUUGGAACUGAGAUUCAGCAGGUAAAACUGAACUGCAAGAUGUACAGGAGAGCAAUGCAAAAAGACAAGCCCAAAAAUUUGCCAGCCUGGAUGAAAAACUUCUAAUGGAAUCCAGCUUGAAAGCAAGUCAAGGGCAGCUAAGCAAGCAGAGAGCAGCGACAGUUUCCCAGAGAAGUAGGAAAAGGCAGAGAGAGAAUGCUGAAGCCUCUGAGAAAAUGCAUUAUAGAUUCUCACGAAGAAUUAAUGAUUACAAGUAUAUAAAUUCCAGUUGGCUGCUCCAAGAUGCGAGUAAUUAGAGAAGCCCAUCUCUAUCUCUGCGCCUUAUCUAACAGCAUGAAUAACUCCACUUCUAGUUCAGGCAGCCUCAUGAUUCACCACUAAAGGCUUCGAAAGAAGGUUCUUGCUAAGAAAACCUCACAAUAACAUCAUUAAUCCAUGAGGAAUUUCCUCAUCUGGGACAUCUGUUCAAGGAAUGUCACAAACAAACGUACAGUCCAUUCAUAACCUGCUCUCAAUUCACAACUUUAUAGAAAGCAGAAGCCACAUUAUUAAAACUUUAUGAUCUGAAAAAAUAUAACCAAAUGCAUUGUGCUUCCCUUGUUAAUGCAGCUCUACAUAAAUAACUCUCUCUUUGUAAACUUA